GGCGGCGCGCUUAACACAUGCAAGUCGAACGAGAAAGUGGAGCAAUCCAUGAGUACAGUGGCGUACGGGUGAGUAACACGUGGGUAAUCUACCUCUUAGUGGGGAAUAACUUUGGGAAACCGAAGCUAAUACCGCAUAAGCUCGAGAGAGGAAAGCAGCAAUGCGCUGAGAGAGGAGCCCGCGGCCGAUUAGCUAGUUGGCAGGGUAAAAGCCUACCAAGGCAGAGAUCGGUAGCCGGCCUGAGAGGGCACACGGCCACACUGGCACUGAAACACGGGCCAGACUCCUACGGGAGGCAGCAGUGGGGAAUCUUGCACAAUGGGGGCAACCCUGAUGCAGCGACGCCGCGUGAGCGAUGAAGCCCUUCGGGGUGUAAAGCUCUUUCGUCAGGGAAGAUAGUGACGGUACCUGGAGAAGCAGCUGCGGCUAACUACGUGCCAGCAGCCGCGGUAAUACGUA
rnacentral:rRNA from 1 species